rnacentral:tRNA from 1 species
GUCUCGAUAGUGUAAUGGAUAAGCACAGCAAUCCAGAUAUCUGUAGAUGAGGGUUCGAAUCCCGCCUGAGAUU